GGACCGAGGAGUCCGACAAGGCGGCGAGCCCACGGCAGCACGGACCGCCGCGGGCGCAGCGAAGGCGCGUGCGCUUCCGGGACGUCGCGCCUCGAGCGCGCGUCCCGGUCGCGCCGGUGCGAGGCGAUGGCGGCGGCGGCCCGCGUCGAACCGGUUUCGGCCGGCUUCGGACGGGCCGUCCGGCCGCCCCGCAAGCCCUCGGGCGGUCUCGCGUCGCGUUCGAGCCGCACUCGUAGCCGCCGUGUCGGGAUCCGAAAGGCGGUGAACUAUGCCCGGCCAGGGUGAAGUUAGGGGAAACCCUGAUGCAGGCCCGUCGCGCUUCUAACGUGCAAAUUGAUCGUCUGAGCCGGGUAUAGGGGCGAAAGACCAAUCGAACCGUCUAGUAGCUGGUUCCUUCCGAAGUUUCCCUCAGGAUAGCUGAAACGAGCGAACGAACGAACGUUCUUCUAGUUUUACUGCUAGGAGAACGACGUCCAGUCGCGUGAGGUAAAGCGAAUGAUUAGAGGCAUUGGGGCUGAAACGGUCUUAACCUAUUCUCAAACUUUCAAUAUGCGCUGACCGGCGGCCCACGAUACGGGGGCCGAUCGGACGAUGGAGCGUUUCUAGUGGGCCAGUCCUGGUAAGCAGGACCGGCGAUGCGGGAUGAACCGAACGCACAAGUUAGAGUGCCGAAAAGUACGUUAAUCAGAGACCACAAAAGGCGUUAGUAACUGAAGACAGCAGGACGGUGGACAUGGAAGUAGUA
rnacentral:rRNA from 1 species